CAUUAUUCAAAGACAGCUCAAUCCCUAUUUUUAUUAAAUCCUAAUUUCAUCACUUUAUUUACCGUUGUGAUUUAUUUUAUUAUGCAAUUUUAUUAACGUAAAUGACACGUCGUUCGUAGUUUCUGGUUCAACGUAGAUCAUCGUAACAUUAAUUGCAGUUUGUAAAUGCCACCUAGUAGCGUUUUUAAGAAGUUACAGAGAUGAACCGAAGUAAAGGGCAACUAGUUUUAUCGCGUUCCGCAGUCAGGUUAAAAUGGCAGAAAACGAUCGGAGAAUCGAUUGCGAAAAAUAAUAUCUCAUAGAGUUAUACAUGUAUUAAGAUAGAUUGGCAAAUGGAAUAAAUAUUAUUAUGGAGGCGAAAAACAUCAUCUACCUGUCAUUAAUUCUGUUCCUAUUUGGCGUGCCUCAUGGGCAGUUUGUGCGAACAAGGUGAUACGGUUCAUUCGGUGUUAAUGUACUCGACUUUCUCUCUCAUAUGUCAGUCGGUACGCGGUCACGAGUAGUCAUUCCAAACCCAUGGUCAUCCUUCGAGGACACAACCAAUAUAUCUUCUGUUUGCGAUCGUCGGCCAUGCCUCAAGGAAUCCGGAAAUCAUUUUUAUUGGAAUCUUAAGCGGUCGUCAUUAUCUCGGGUAUAAGAGAGUCUGACAAGUGGAAAAACAUUCGGCGUUAAUUUAUAAGGGAACCCCGCGAAGAGUAUGAUGUAUAUAUUUUUUAAAUGUCACCGCGCAGAUACACCGCUAAUUAAAUCGAUGUUUUAAAAGAAAAAUUUUCGAAAAAAUGGAUCGAUAUCUAUUUCUUCGAUUUUCCAGUGGGAUAAAAAUUUUUUACAAAUUUUU